CUCAAGGGCGGUCCUGGGACGACCUCCAGGGCCUGGCUCCAAACUAGCCCUCUCACUUCCGCCCAGACGCCGCCCUGGUUCUGAGGUCGCGAGCAGCCCAGGGUGACUCAGGGUGAUGCCUUCCCCUCCCUCCCCCAGGAGGCAGGGCUUCAUCAGCCCUGGGAAAGAAGGCGCCCUGCUCUGUGCGGCGUGGGCUCCUCUCCCUGCCGAGGUGCGUGCGAAACGCGAGGCGCUGUCAGAACGACGUGUUCCCGCACCACCUCCCCGCGGGAGGGGUCCUGGCUGCGUGGAGGCCGCGCCCCGCCAGGAGUCCUGAUGGGCCUCGCUGAUGGGCACAGUGGUGGCGGCACCGGCCACCUCAGGGACGUUCUGCCGGGAAGUGCGGGAGCUGCCCGGGGAGAUGUAGCGUGCCAGUGUCUCCGGAGCACGGGACGCCAUCUCCUUUCUGCAGCUCCUGCCCACGGCAGGCGGGCAAUACCCAGCUCUGAUCGGACAUGGUUCUCGGCAGCCACCGUGCACAGAGAGUCCAUUAUGAGUGGCGGUCAAGUUCCCGGGGCCGACCUACAAAACCCAUCUAGCCCGGGCCCCACAGGCCUCCCCAGCCACCGAACUCCCGCACAGCCUUGCUCCUGGGGAGGACCUGAGCCACAAGGGUCACGUUCCAGCUGCAGAAGCCACUCAGGACCACUAAAUGCUGCUGUGUUACCCCGCUCAACGCUCAACAGGCCCUGUGAGGCAGGAAGUGCCACAGACCAGCUGUGUGGCUCAAGCAAGCUCCUUAAUCCUCUGGGCCUCACUUUCCUCAUCUGCAAAAGGGGACAAUAAUAGCUCUACUCCCAGGGUCGUUCAAAAUGUCAAAGGAGUCAACACCUAUGAGUGCGGAAAAAACAGCUGGCAGCCGUCACAAGUACACCAACAGGAUCCAACAGCAGUCACUUCCUACAGUCCCUUCCUCUAGCUUCUGGAACACCUUCCCCCUCCAUCUGCCGGCUCCCUGCCUCCCUGCCGGCUCCUGCUCAGUCGGCUUUGCUGAUUCUUCCACCUCCUGACUGGGUGACCCCGGGCCCGGUCUGUGGUCUGCUUAGUUCCACGUGCUGGCUGGAGUCCACUGCCUCUCAAACUCUGGGACACACGUGCACAGCUGUGCCCCACAGCCUCCCCAUCGCAGAUGAUGACGACCGCAUCAGCUCAAAUGCUCGGGCCAAAAGCGUCAGCAUCGUCUGGACCCAUCCUUGACCCCUCCCACCCGCCCCACGUAUCUGAUCAAUCAGCAAAUUCUUGGGUCUCUCCCUGAAUGUCUGACACGGCCUCCCCGACAGUGACAGCGCCCCUGCUCCUGCCCUGGCCCCAGUCUGUUUCAGUACAGCGGUGUGACCUGCCCUUCUGCUCCCCUCCAGUCACACGGGCUCCUGGCUGCUCCCGAAACACCCGACACACCCCAUCUCAGGACCCUGGCAUUAACUCGGCUCUGUCCAACAAAACCUUGUGUGCAGAUGGGAACAAUCUCCAUGUGUGUUCUGUCCAACAUGGAAGCCACCAGCACAUGUGGUUCCUGACCAGCUGAAAUGUGGCUAAUACCGCUGAGGAACUGUACGCUUGAUUCGACUCCAUUUUUACUCAUUUAAAAGUAAGCGCCCAUCUGGCUCAGUCGGUUAAGCGUCCGACUUCGGCUCAGGUCAUGAUCUCAUGGCUCGGGGAUUCGAGCCCUGCGUCGGGCUCUGUGCUGACAGCUCAGAGCCUGGAGCCUGCUUUAGAUUCUGUGUCUCCCUCUCUAUCUGCCCCUCCCACGCUCACACUCUGUCUCUCUCAAAAAUAAUAAAUAAACA